rnacentral:lncRNA from 1 species
UCGUCGGCGUACGACCUAGUGAGAAGGUCUCUUAGCCUCCUUCUAGCUGACCAAAAAACUAUAGAGUAUAGUUGGCUAGGGAGAAAGGGAAAAAAAUAUUUAAGAAUUUAAAUAUUUCCAAAAUGUUGAUAGGUGCAGCGGCAAAAGCAGGCCUUUCGAGCACCGCCAAAGAGACUGAAGACGCCAUCCAAAAUUGGAUUAGAAGAGCGUCUGAUAGACAAAAUACACAAAAAUAAAUAUAAAUAUACUAAUAAAU